rnacentral:lncRNA from 1 species
CUGGCAUUCAGGUAGCUAUCCGGAAUUCUCUUUCUUCACGGGCUCUAAGAACUUUGUAUACCAUCUCGCAGACCAUAGCUGUGAUCCAAGCUGGGCACGGACUUCUCCAACUAGGAUCCUGCAAGAUCGUGAGUAUCUCAGCUCUCCAUUGCACGGCAUUUUAACGUACCAUGAGCCACAGGUUGCCGAGGACCUCCACUUCGUGCUACGGAUGAGAUACACAUUUGAGUCGCUGGAGAACCAGGCCGGAGGAGGAUUUCUCUCCCAGACGUUUGCUCCCAUGAG